ensembl:lncRNA
GUACGGGCUCUGUGUGGGGAAAGCCCCCCGAGGGCCUGAUAACGUGGCCUUGUGAUUGAUGUGAUGGGUCUCUACAGUACUAUGUGAAAGUCAGAUCAAGAAGAACCUCACUGAGAAAAGAAGCUGGACGAUGGACUGACCGCCCCAGAGUCCAGACCUCGGCACCACUGAAUGGGUUUGAUCACUUCAGGAAAUCAUCAACCAGCUUCUCAGACUGAGCUUUGGAGGCGUGUCUGCAGGUUCUUUGAGGAGCUGAAAGUGAGGCUCCUGAAAGGAAUGGAAGCUGGAAUGAAGGUUAUUCAGGGACAAUGUACAAACUUCACUGUAUCUGCAUCACUGACCAAUAAGUGUGUGUUGUUUUUAAAAAAAAAAAAGUCCCGUCUGAACUUCAAUCUCAGGAAGUGUUGACCAGGAAUUGGUGCUGGACCUUCAGCGAGGGGACUUUCCUUCAGGAGAGUGUGUGUGUGUGUGUGUGUGUGUGUGUGUGUGUAGAGCUGGGCGAUAUGACGAAGCGUAAUAUCACAAUACUUCCAGAUAUUUUUAUGAUGCGCAGUGUUUAAUUUUAUCUGGUCAGCUGGAACAGAAAGUAGUGCCAAGUUUAAAAUAUUAUUAAAAAUGAUGAGUGCAGUUAUUCUAUAGCUCUAUACAUGAUACUGAAUCACUGGCUGUGUGUGUGUGUGUGUGUGUGCGCGUGUGUGUGUGUGUGUACGUAUGUAUAACCUCUUUAAAGUGACCCACUUGUGGGCCUUUAGGGAGAACGCCCAAGUGUCCCACUCUCCGUGUGUGUGUGUGUGUGUGUGUGUGUGUGUGUCUCUGUCUGUCUGUCUGUCUGUCUGUCUGUCUGUCUGUCUGUCUGUCUGUCUGUCUGUGUAAUAGUUGUUGUCCUUCUUGGCUCUGAUCCAGAUAUUCCAGGCGUGUGUGUUUAGUGAGUUUAGUUACAAGUUUGAGUUAGUGACUGGUCAGAGUCUCUCUCUCUCUCUCUCUCUCUCUCUCUCUCUCUCUCUCUCUCUCUCUCUCUCUCUCUCUCUCUCUCUCUCUCUCUCUCUCUCUGAUCUCACAGAGGUGUGGACGCUCAGUCUGGUCUGAGCUCAGCUGAGAGCGUGUGUGUGCGUGUGUGUGUGGAGACACGGAGAUAGGGAAGCGUCCGAGUAUGGAAUUAAACUCUAAACGGAUUUUACUGUCCAGAACGGAGAUCAGGAGGAGAGUCCAGUAGCCGCCCGGAGGCUUUAAAGGUAAGACAGUUUAUUAGUUAUUGACCUGCCGGUGUUUCCAGUGUGUGGACUGAUCGGUUACGGUCUGUAAUCUUAUCAGAUUACAGGGGAAUUGGGCGUAAAUCUCUGAGCUGAUUCACUGCAAUUAUGAUUCUGUGGGAAAGGACUCAAAGAAUCGUUAUAAGAUCAAAUGAUUCGAUUUGCUUAUUUUGGUAGGAAUCAGUGACUUGUUUAAAGUACCGUGGGAUUUCAGGCGGGGGCUGGGGGGACAUGGUUACGCAGUAUUGGAAUAUACUCAGUUGUAGAAUUUAUUGA